GCUGACUGUGCAUUACCCACAAAAGUCCUGAUUACACACAAGUUGUGCCCAUUAAGCUCACACCUUGUACCCUCUGCAGGUCAGUGUCAUCUCAGCUGGUGAAGCAGCUGGGCAGGCUGGAGGUCAGUACCUGCCUGUCCCCAUCCUGGAGUCUCGCACCCAAGCCCACAAGCAGAGCCAGGAGGGUGCACAUCAAGUUGAAGGUGCAAAGAGUGCCUAGCUGACCUGAAGAAGGUGAGAUCAAGAAACAGAGGCCAAGAUGUUUUUCCUAAGGAGAUAUUCGUUCUUCAUCCCUGAGAUAUUCCAGGUACGUGGUAGGUCCAGUAUAACUUAAUCCA
rnacentral:lncRNA from 1 species